rnacentral:rRNA from 1 species
GACGGAGGGUGCAAGCGUUGUUCGGAAUUACUGGGCGUAAAGGGCUCGUAGGCGGCCAACUAAGUCAGACGUGAAAUCCCCAGGCUCAACCUGGGAACUGCGUCUGAUACUGGUUGGCUUGAAUCCGGGAGAGGGAUGCAGAAUUCCAGGUGUAGCGGUGAAAUGCGUAGAUAUCUGGAGGAACACCGGUGGCGAAGGCGGCAUCCUGGACCGACACUGACGCUGAGGAGCGAAAGCCAGGGGAGCAAACGGG